rnacentral:rRNA from 1 species
UAGGGAAUCUUCGGCAAUGGGGGGAACCCUGACCGAGCAACGCCGCGUGAGUGAAGAAGGUUUUCGGAUCGUAAAGCUCUGUUGUUAAGGAAGAACGAGUGUGAGAAUGGAAAGUUCAUGCUGUGACGGUACUUAACCAGAAAGGGACGGCUAACUACGUGCCAGCAGCCGCGGUAAUACGUAGGUCCCGAGCGUUGUCCGGAUUUAUUGGGCGUAAAGCGAGCGCAGGCGGUUAGAAAAGUCUGAAGUGAAAGGCAGUGGCUCAACCAUUGUAGGCUUUGGAAACUGUUUAACUUGAGUGCAGAAGGGGAGAGUGGAAUUCCAUGUGUAGCGGUGAAAUGCGUAGAUAUAUGGAGGAACACCGGUGGCGAAAGCGGCUCUCUGGUCUGUAACUGCCGCUGAGGCUCGAAAGCGUGGGGAGCGAACAGG